CUUGGACGUCAGCCAUCCUGAUUGGAUCACACAAUAGGAGGGGCGUGACCAAAAACACGGUUAUAAAAGCCGCCGUGACCGAAGACUCUUCGCUUGUUCUCUCCGACCUUGUCCCGUGUAGCAAUCCACGUCUGGACUGAGGUAACCUGACCCACAUGUGAACUUAACUCCCUCAUUGAAGAGCCUUUACAUCCUUUCCAGUCCCCAGAGAUUAGGGACCCUGUAUCUUUCUCCACAACAGGAGACUGGCUUCUAUCACCACAGGCACCAAUUGACGCCAACAUCUCAAAUGUCCAUAUCAAAGAACCAUGAGUCCACUUUGUUGAUCUACCUGUAAAUCCCUCAGGAUUCUACCUCUGCUUAUCAUGCCAAAAGGAGAGGCUGUCACAUUUAUCACCAAGAAGCUGUCUCUCCCAGAACUGGGACCACCAGCCAUAAAAUGUGGAAUGUGCUCAUCAAAGAGAACGAGAGACUUCAUUUGGACACAGGUUCUGGUUCAGAUGCACCAUAGAU
ensembl:lncRNA